AGAGUUUGAUCCUGGCUCACGAUGAACGCUAGCGGCAAGCUUAACACAUGCAAGUCGAACGGUAACUUUUAGUGCUUGCACUGAAAGACGAGUGGCGGACGGGUGCGUAACGCGUAUGCAAUCUACCUUUUACUAGGGUAUAGCCCAGAGAAAUUUGGAUUAAUCCCCUAUAAUAUCAUGAAAUCGCAUGGUUUUAUGAUUAAAGCUUCGGCGGUAAAAGAUGAGCAUGCGUCCUAUUAGUUUGUAGGUGAGGUAACGGCUCACCUAGACCACGAUAGGUAGGGGCCCUGAGAGGGGGAUCCCCCACACUGGUACUGAGACACGGACCAGACUCCUACGGGAGGCAGCAGUGAGGAAUAUUGGACAAUGGACGAAAGUCUGAUCCAGCUAUGCCGCGUGCAGGAUGACAGCCCUACGGGUUGUAAACUGCUUUUAUACAGGAAGAAACACCCCGACGUGUCGGGGCUUGACGGUACUGUAAGAAUAAGGAUCGGCUAACUCCGUGCCAGCAGCCGCGGUAAUACGGAGGAUCCAAGCGUUAUCCGGAAUUAUUGGGUUUAAAGGGUCCGCAGGCGGUUUUUUAAGUCAGAGGUGAAAUCCUGCAGCUCAACUGUAGAAUUGCCUUUGAAACUGAAAGACUUGAGUUAUUGUGAAGUGGUUAGAAUGUGUGGUGUAGCGGUGAAAUGCAUAGAUAUCACACAGAAUACCAAUUGCGAAGGCAGAUCACUAACAAUUAACUGACGCUCAGGGACGAAAGCGUGGGUAGCGAACAGGAUUAGAUACCCUGGUAGUCCACGCCGUAAACGAUGGAUACUAGCUGUAUGUCUACCUCAGGUAGAUGUGUGGCCAAGCGAAAGUGAUAAGUAUCCCACCUGGGGAGUACGAUCGCAAGAUUGAAACUCAAAGGAAUUGACGGGGGCCCGCACAAGCGGUGGAGCAUGUGGUUUAAUUCGAUGAUACGCG
rnacentral:rRNA from 1 species